GAUGAACGCUGGCGGCGUGCCUAAUACAUGCAAGUCGAACGAGGUGCUUUUGUAGCAAUACGAGAGUAUCCUAGUGGCGAACGGGUGAGUAACGCGUUGGUGACCUACCCCAAAGUGUGGGAUAACAGAUCGAAAGAUCUGCUAAUACCGCAUGUGGUCUUCGGAUUUAGAAACUGAUGACUAAAGCAGUAAUGUGCUUCGGGAGGGGCCUGCGCCCCAUCAGCUAGUUGGUAGGGUAAUGGCCUACCAAGGCAACAACGGGUAGGGGGCCUGGGAGGGUGACCCCCCACAUUGGCACUGACACACGGGCCAAACUCCUACGGGAGGCAGCAGUGAGGAAUAUUGCUCAAUGGGCGAAAGCCUGAAGCAGAAACGCCGCGUGCGCGAUGAAGGCCUUCGGGUCGUAAAGCGCUUUUGAGAGGGACGAGAUAGGACGGUACCUCUGGAAUAAGUCACGGCUAACUACGUGCCAGCAGCCGCGGUAACAC
rnacentral:rRNA from 1 species